rnacentral:rRNA from 1 species
UGCAGUCGAGCGGACAGAUGGGAGCUUGCUCCCUGAUGUUAGCGGCGGACGGGUGAGUAACACGUGGGUAACCUGCCUGUAAGACUGGGAUAACUCCGGGAAACCGGGGCUAAUACCGGAUGGUUGUUUGAACCGCAUGGUUCAGACAUAAAAGGUGGCUUCGGCUACCACUUACAGAUGGACCCGCGGCGCAUUAGCUAGUUGGUGAGGUAACGGCUCACCAAGGCGACGAUGCGUAGCCGACCUGAGAGGGUGAUCGGCCACACUGGGACUGAGACACGGCCCAGACUCCUACGGGAGGCAGCAGUAGGGAAUCUUCCGCAAUGGACGAAAGUCUGACGGAGCAACGCCGCGUGAGUGAUGAAGGUUUUCGGAUCGUAAAGCUCUGUUGUUAGGGAAGAACAAGUGCCGUUCAAAUAGGGCGGCACCUUGACGGUACCUAACCAGAAAGCCACGGCUAACUACGUGCCAGCAGCCGCGGUAAUACGUAGGUGGCAAGCGUUGUCCGGAAUUAUUGGGCGUAAAGGGCUCGCAGGCGGUUUCUUAAGUCUGAUGUGAAAGCCCCCGGCUCAACCGGGGAGGGUCAUUGGAAACUGGGGAACUUGAGUGCAGAAGAGGAGAGUGGAAUUCCACGUGUAGCGGUGAAAUGCGUAGAGAUGUGGAGGAACACCAGUGGCGAAGGCGACUCUCUGGUCUGUAACUGACGCUGAGGAGCGAAAGCGUGGGGAGCGAACAGGAUUAGAUACCCUGGUAGUCCACGCCGUAAACGAUGAGUGCUAAGUGUUAGGGGUUUCCGCCCCUUAGUGCUGCAGCUAACGCAUUAAGCACUCCGCCUGGGGAGUACGGUCGCAAGACUGAAACUCAAAGGAAUUGACGGGGGCCCGCACAAGCGGUGGAGCAUGUGGUUUAUUCGAAGCACGCGAAGAACCU